rnacentral:misc_RNA from 1 species
GAUGAAGAACGCAGCGAAAUGCGAUAAGUAAUGUGAAUUGCAGAAUUCAGUGAAUCAUCGAAUCUUUGAACGCACAUUGCGCCCGCUAGUAUUCCGGGGGGCAUGCCUGUCCGAGCGUCAUUGCUGCCCUCAAGCACGGCUUGUGUGUUGGGCCCCGUCCUCCGAUCCCGGGGGACGGGCCCGAAAGGCAGCGGCGGCACCGCGUCCGGUCCUCGAGCGUAUGGGGCUUUGUCACCCGCUCUGUAGGCCCGGCCGGCGCUUGCCGAUCAACCCAAAUUUUUAUCCAGGUUGACCUCGGAUCAGGUAGGGAUACCCGCUGAACUUAAGCAUAUCAAUAAGCGGAGGA